UGCAACCGAGCAGAGAACUGCAUUAUGCAACC
rnacentral:piRNA from 1 species